GACGAACGCUGGCGGCGUGCCUAAUACAUGCAGGUAGAACGCUGAAGAGAGGAGCUUGCUCUUCUUGGAUGAGUUGCGAACGGGUGAGUAACGCGUAGGUAACCUGCCUUGUAGCGGGGGAUAACUAUUGGAAACGAUAGCUAAUACCGCAUAACAAUGGAUGACACAUGUCAUUUAUUUGAAAGGGGCAAUUGCUCCACUACAAGAUGGACCUGCGUUGUAUUAGCUAGUAGGUGAGGCAAUGGCUCACCUAGGCGACGAUACAUAGCCGACCUGAGAGGGUGAUCGGCCACACUGGGACUGAGACACGGCCCAGACUCCUACGGGAGGCAGCAGUAGGGAAUCUUCGGCAAUGGGGGCAACCCUGACCGAGCAACGCCGCGUGAGUGAAGAAGGUUUUCGGAUCGUAAAGCUCUGUUGUAAGUCAAGAACGGGUGUGAGAGUGGAAAGUUCACACUGUGACGGUAGCUUACCAGAAAGGGACGGCUAACUACGUG
rnacentral:rRNA from 1 species